GCACCCAAUUCGGCAUUAAUUGUAAGCCUGGAAUAAUACAGAGAAGAUUAACAUAGUUCCUGUGCAAGAAUGACUAGGAGAUUCGCAACGAGUUCCAUAUUUCC